GACGAACGCUGGCGGCGUGCUUAACACAUGCAAGUCGAACGGUGAAGCGCCUUCCUUUUUGGUGGGUGUGGAUGAGUGGCGAACGGGUGAGUAACACGUGAGUAACCUGCCCCCUUCUUCUGGAUAACCGCAUGAAAGUGUGGCUAAUACGGGAUAUUCUGGGUCUGUCGCAUGAUGGGUCUGGGAAAGAUAUUGUUUCGGUGGGGGAUGGGCUCGCGGCCUAUCAGCUUGUUGGUGGGGUGAUGGCCUACCAAGGCGGUGACGGGUAGCCGGCCUGAGAGGGUGGACGGUCACACUGGGACUGAGACACGGCCCAGACUCCUACGGGAGGCAGCAGGGGGGAAUAUUGCACAAUGGGCGCAAGCCUGAAGCAGCGACGCCGCGGGAGGGAUGGAGGCCUUCGGGUUGUGAACCUCUUUCGCCAGUGAAGCAGGCCUGCCUCGUUUGUGGGUGGGUUGACGGUAGCUGGAUAAGAAGCGCCGGCUAACUACGUG
rnacentral:rRNA from 1 species